rnacentral:lncRNA from 1 species
AAAAUGAGCCAAUGGGCUUGACGGACGUCAGGAGUAGGACCCGCCUCUCGCUCGAGCCUGACCAAUUAUUUCACGCGGAUUCGAAGUUCGUAUUGUUGUGACCUUUGGAACCGCAUCACCGCCCACCGCGUGCCCGUGGCGGAGGAAAACUAUAUAUAGAGGCGGAUGACAGCAGUAGGGGACGAAAUUGUAAAACACCCAGAUAGAGGGGGUGGAGAGGAGUUUAUUGGGAAGUUAAGGCUAUACUGCAACUACUGAACAUCGUCAUUUUGUAAACUCAAGAACCGGAUCAGUCGUUUGGACUGAGACGUUCCCUCUGCAACCAGCACUUUGUUUUGAACCGUUUUCCCCCAAGUUUGUUUGUUUGCCUGGCUCCAGCCGAGCCUUGCCCUCUGGUGGCUUACAACACAAUACGCGAAUUCACAGCCAACGGUGAUACUCCAGGGCAGCGCAGCAGCUAUGCAGCUUGAAAUCCAAGUAGCACUCAACUUCAUAAUUUCUUACUUGUACAAUAAGCUGCCCAGGCGACGUGUUAACAUUUUCGGCGAGGAAUUGGAGCGACAGCUAAAACAGAAAUACGAGGGACAUUGGUACCCGGACAAGCCAUACAAAGGGUCUGGAUUCAGGUGUAUACAUGUCGGCGAGAAAGUGGACCCAGUUGUAGAGCAAGCAGCCAAAGAAAGUGGGUUGGACAUUGAGGAUGUCCGCAACAACCUGCCUCAGGACCUCAGUGUCUGGAUUGAUCCUUUCGAGGUGUCUUAUCAGAUUGGGGAGAAGGGACCCGUCAAGGUGCUCUAUGUUCGGCCAGUCUGCGGCAGUCAGCCCCACCUUCAUGCGCCGUUCCACGCAACCUUUAACCUUUACCACUGCCAGCUUUGCCGCCACCAAAUUUGGCUCCACGAAAAUGAAAAGCAAUGGGCGGAAUGCCAACAAGGUGACCGGAAACUCCCCCACCAACCUGGGCCUGAAUGUAAACAACCUCCUGAAGCAGAAAGCCAUGUCCACAUCCAUGCAUUCUCUCUACAGUGUCGGCUUGGGCGGUCAGCCGCAGAAGCCCUCUGCCCUGUCUCCCAACGCUAAGGAGUUCGUGUUUCCCAGUCUCCAGGGGCAGGGCAGCCCAAGUGCAAUGUUCCCCGGGGAAACGUCCCUCAAUCUCAGCCCUCUCCCAUACAAUAAUGCCUUUGACAUGUUUGCAGCCUAUGGGGGCCUUAAUGAGAAGUCCCUCAUGAACAGUCUGAAUUUCAGCUUGAGCAACAUGCAGUAUUCUAACCAGCAAUUCCAGUCAGUGAUGGCCAACUAGAAAGCGAGAAUACUACUAACGACCAGAGAUAUGUGAUGAGUUCACGUUUAGAAAAUCCCCAAAAAAAGGAAAAAAAAAAAG